UGGUGACUAUAGCAAGGAGGUCACACCUGUUCCCAUGCCGAACACAGAAGUUAAGCUCCUUAGCGUCGACAAAGAAAAAUGGCUUGGCGAAGUGAAAACGUUUGAAUC
rnacentral:rRNA from 1 species